CAGUGAGCUAGGCAAUAUGAACUAUUUAACUCAGCCCAAAUGGAAUCUUCAGGACAGAUUUGCAGAGAGACACCAACUUGAGAAGGAUGUGGAAGACAAAUGUGCUGCCAGGGGCAGGGAGGAAGGGGAGAUAUCGUAGGAACUGGAGGAGCAGAAUGGAAGCUGGUCUUCAACUUGAUUGAACAUGUAUCUGGAACAUUCAAAGAUUGCGAUUAAUACUAAUCUGCCACAACAGAGAUGACUAAAUGGAGGAGAACAGCACACAGUAGGACAGAAAGAGUUAGGAUGGGUGAUGGGCAACCUGGCAUUCAAGUCAUCACUCCUGAAGAGAAGACCUGACUCUGGCUGAACUGACUGGCUAACUAACUGUGCCCAAGCUCCUGAACUGGGAUCAGAGCUUCCAAAUCAAUACUGUGCUCAAAUCCCUGACCAAAGACUAUCCUCCGUUGACUUGACUGAGAACUGCUGAGAACGAUGACGGACUCCGGGCUCCCUGUCUCAGUUAACUAGCUAGACAGUGCAACAGCACUGUAAGUCUGGUCUCACUGGCUGUGGGGUAAGUUGCAAAAAGACAAGUCUAGGCAGGAGUGCUGCGAGCAUCCAGUUGGGCUCAACUGAGAGAGAAAGUGAACAGUGUACAAUAAGAAGCUGCAUACUAUUGGGGUAAGAUGUGCAAUUAGUAAGGCCAUUAAUAAACAAUAAUUCGCCUUAAUAGGCAACUCAUUCUGCCUCACAAUAAUCUCACCUCGGUACCUGGAACUUAGUUACAAGAUGCAGCAAGUUAUACCUGACAUUGAGAUUGACCUUGCCAUGUGAAUCAUGUGAAUCUUCAUAUGAUUCUGCACAUUUCCUGCCCUACACCAAGUUGUUCAGGUGAUUCAGUCUCUCUGUGAGUACAUCUCUAACAGAGGGUUUUAUCUGGUGCUACAAUGGUUUUGAUAUCUCCUGUAACAUCAGAAAGGGCAUGAUAUCAUAGCAUUGAAGAAUUCAACAUCCAUUUACUGCAACUAACCCUUAUGUAAAAGAAAUUGCAUUCCUAAGGGACACAAGUGUGUGGGUUAAUGCUAAACUAUUACUUUAUACAGAACCAAGUUUCUCGUAGAAUGUCAUGUUCCAAUUGAUCUGAGAUAAAAUGAAAUAUGAGAUCCUAAUGUCAUGUGCUGUGAUGCAGUGCGGAUAUUAUGAGCAUGUCUUUUAAAGGUAUACAGGGUAUUAAGAUACUAACCACGAGACGUAGCAGAAUGACAAUCGCAUUAUCGUCUGUGGGAUCUUGUUAGUGUAAAUAGGCUCUCAUUUUUCCUGCAUUUUUAUGGGGAUUGUAUUACACAAAAGCAGUAUGGAACAUUGCAAGGCUAUGAAAAUUGGAAUAUUAUGCAAGCCUUUCUUGCUUCAGAAACUGCUCUUGUAGGCUACAGGUAAUUCUGUUCCAAAAGGAAUUGUUUCAAAACACUAUUUUUAUGAAGAUAAAGGGUGUCAGCACUUAAUGUCAGAGAUGUGCUCCUGAUUUUAGGUGAACUGCUUUUAGGUGAAGUGUGAUUCUUAUAGGAAUCAGUGUUAAAACCACCUGCUGAGGAUAAUCUUUGCUUGGAAAGGCAAUGUCAAAAUUGAAAUACUAUGGCAAA